rnacentral:lncRNA from 1 species
UGUUGCUGACCUUUCUCAGAUCCGAAGCUGCUGCUCCAGGCACAGUACUUGGAGUAAUCACUGGUCAUCACUGAGGAAUUAUAAGUCCUCCAGAGAGCAGAAUCAAUUCUCUUUGGAGCUGUAGUUGUCAUUGCCCCUAGAAAGGACUGAAACUUUUGCUUUGCAAAAAGUUAAACCUUUAUCCUCAACAUACUCCCUUAGGUUAAAGAGAGUAGGAUGUGGUGAGAAGAACAACCUCUGGGGCAACCAGCAUGCUGCAGACACAGGGUCUGAAGUUAGGAAGGUGGAGGUAGCUGUUUUUCAUCGCCUUCUGACUGGCUGCCACCUGGGGAUAGUCCACCAUGGCUGGAUCUGGGCAGGAUUUGAAGUAUUCACCAAACCAUGCUGUGUUGAGUCUCCGAAAACUACUUGGCAAGACUUUUCAGGGGUAAAGGAAGUUUUCUCUGUGGAAGUGAAGUUCCAUCAACAAUCAGAAGAGCCUGUGAAUAGGAAAUAUUACCUUUACACUCAACCAGACUGCCUCAGUUGUCUUGAGUUGACUACAGAUUUCAGCAUGUUCAAAGCAUAGCAUUUUUACCUCUGUUAUAAAUUACAGAAAUUAAUAUAUAUAUAUAUUCAAUUUUGAAUUUUUAAAAGAAAAUAGAUUUCAAACAAUGGCAUCACUUGGGGGGGUGUCUUUUUUUCUUAUAGUGUUGAAAU